rnacentral:rRNA from 1 species
UACGUAGGGACCGAGCGUUGUCCGGAAUCAUUGGGCGUAAAGAGCGUGUAGGCGGCCACUUAAGUCCUGCGUGAAAUCUUGCGGCUCAACCGCAAGCGGUCGUGGGAAACUGGGUGGCUAGAGUGCGGGAGAGGAGAGUGGAAUUCCUGGUGUAGCGGUGGAAUGCGCAGAUAUCAGGAAGAACACCCGUGGCGAAAGGCGGCUCUCUGGAACGCAACUGACGCUGAGACGCGAAAGCGUGGGGAGCAAACAGG